UGGCGGCAUGCUUAACACAUGCAAGUCGAACGAGACCUUCGGGUCUAGUGGCGCACGGGUGCGUAACGCGUGGGAAUCUGCCCUUUGCUACGGAAUAACUCAGAGAAAUUUGUGCUAAUACCGUAUAAUGUCGUAAGACCAAAGAUUUAUCGGCAAAGGAUGAGCCCGCGUAAGAUUAGCUUGUUGGUGAGGUAAAGGCUCACCAAGGCGACGAUCUUUAGCUGGUCUGAGAGGAUGAUCAGCCACACUGGGACUGAGACACGGCCCAGACUCCUACGGGAGGCAGCAGUGGGGAAUAUUGGACAAUGGGCGAAAGCCUGAUCCAGCAAUGCCGCGUGAGUGAUGAAGGCCUUAGGGUUGUAAAGCUC
rnacentral:rRNA from 1 species